UACGUAGGGUGCAAGCGUUGUCCGGAAUUAUUGGGCGUAAAGAGCUCGUAGGCGGUUUGUCGCGUCUGCUGUGAAAACCCGAGGCUCAACCUCGGGCCUGCAGUGGGUACGGGCAGACUAGAGUGCGGUAGGGGAGAUUGGAAUUCCUGGUGUAGCGGUGGAAUGCGCAGAUAUAGGAGGAACACCAAUGGCGAAGGCAGAUCUCUGGGCCGUAACUGACGCUGAGGAGCGAAAGCAUGGGGAGCGAACAGG
rnacentral:rRNA from 1 species